UUUUUAUUUGUUUAUUUAUUUAUUUGUUUAUUUAGCUUUGCCAACUAGGGCAGGGUCACCACAACAGCAUAUGCCGAUUACUGUGGGCCCUUUUUUUUACCUAAACCCACCCUGUCAACUUUCCCUGUGGGAGGAAACCGGAGUACCCGGGGAAAACCCACGGCUUUCGGCAGAGCGUUGACUUUUACUCUUUUCACAUGGGGACUGGGUUCGAGUCGCACUGAGAAGGUACUUAGUGAGACUCGAGCCUGCAGCCUCAGAGGUGAAAGGCAAGUGCGCUAACCACUUGGCCACCGAAGCCCCCUAAGAU